rnacentral:rRNA from 1 species
CGAAUGCUGACAUAAGUAACGAUAAAGCGGGUGAAAAGCCCGCUCGCCGGAAGACCAAGGGUUCCUGUCCAACGUUAAUCGGGGCAGGGUGAGUCGACCCCUAAGGCGAGGCCGAAAGGCGUAGUCGAUGGGAAACAGGUUAAUAUUCCUGUACUUGGUGUUACUGCGAAGGGGGGACGGAGAAGGCUAUGUUGGCCGGGCGACGGUUGUCCCGGUUUAAGCGUGUAGGCUGGUUUUCCAGGCAAAUCCGGAAAAUCAAGGCUGAGGCGUGAUGACGAGGCACUACGGUGCUGAAGCAACAAAUGCCCUGCUUCCAGGAAAAGCCUCUAAGCAUCAGGUAACAUUAAAUCGUACCCCAAACCGACACAGGUGGUCAGGUAGAGAAUACCAAGGCGCUUGAGAGAACUCGGGUGAAGGAACUAGGCAAAAUGGUGCCGUAACUUCGGGAGAAGGCACGCUGAUAUGUAGGUGAAGUCCCUCGCGGAUGGAGCUGAAAUCAGUCGAAGAUACCAGCUGGCUGCAACUGUUUAUUAAAAACACAGCACUGUGCAAACACGAAAGUGGACGUAUACGGUGUGACGCCUGCCCGGUGCCGGAAGGUUAAUUGAUGGGGUUAGCGGUAACGCGAAGCUCUUGAUCGAAGCCCCGGUAAACGGCGGCCGUAACUAUAACGGUCCUAAGGUAGCGAAAUUCCUUGUCGGGUAAGUUCCGACCUGCACGAAUGGCGUAAUGAUGGCCAGGCUGUCUCCACCCGAGACUCAGUGAAAUUGAACUCGCUGUGAAGAUGCAGUGUACCCGCGGCAAGACGGAAAGACCCCGUGAACCUUUACUAUAGCUUGACACUGAACAUUGAGCCUUGAUGUGUAGGAUAGGUGGGAGGCUUUGAAGUGUGGACGCCAGUCUGCAUGGAGCCGACCUUGAAAUACCACCCUUUAAUGUUUGAUGUUCUAACGUUGACCCGUAAUCCGGGUUGCGGACAGUGUCUGGUGGGUAGUUUGACUGGGGCGGUCUCCUCCUAAAGAGUAACGGAGGAGCACGAAGGUUGGCUAAUCCUGGUCGGACAUCAGGAGGUUAGUGCAAUGGCAUAAGCCAGCUUGACUGCGAGCGUGACGGCGCGAGCAGGUGCGAAAGCAGGUCAUAGUGAUCCGGUGGUUCUGAAUGGAAGGGCCAUCGCUCAACGGAUAAAAGGUACUCCGGGGAUAACAGGCUGAUACCGCCCAAGAGUUCAUAUCGACGGCGGUGUUUGGCACCUCGAUGUCGGCUCAUCACAUCCUGGGGCUGAAGUAGGUCCCAAGGGUAUGGCUGUUCGCCAUUUAAAGUGGUACGCGAGCUGGGUUUAGAACGUCGUGAGACAGUUCGGUCCCUAUCUGCCGUGGGCGCUGGAGAACUGAGGGGGGCUGCUCCUAGUACGAGAGGACCGGAGUGGACGCAUCACUGGUGUUCGGGUUGUCAUGCCAAUGGCACUGCCCGGUAGCUAAAUGCGGAAGAGAUAAGUGCUGAAAGCAUCUAAGCACGAAACUUGCCCCGAGAUGAGUUCUCCCUGACUCCUUGAGAGUCCUGAAGGAACGUUGA